GCUGAAUUUAAGCAUAUAAGUAAGCGGAGGACAAGAAACUAAACAGGAUCCCCAUAGUAAUGGCGAAUGAACCGGGAUAAACUCAGCAUGGAAAUUGGGGCCUUUGGCUUUGACUUGUAAUCUGGUGAGGCAUUGCCAACAGAGGCGCAUAUGUAAGUCUCUUGGAAAAGAGCAUCAACGAAGGUGAGAGUCCUGAUUGUCAUGUGCAGCCCCCCUGUGCACGGUGUGCCUUCUAAGAGUCACGUUCCUUGGGAUUGGAGCGCAAAUUGGGUGGUAACUUUCAUCUGAAGUUAAACAAUGGUUUGGGACCGAUAGGAAACAAGUACCAUGAGGGAAAGGUGAAAAGGACUUUGGAAAGAGAGUUAAAAGUGCCUGAAAUUGCUGAAGGGGAAGCGAAUGGAACCAGUAGUGCUGGGUGAGAUUGUCACAUGCUACAAGGAUUGGUUGCUGCCACAACGCAAGUGUGAUGGCAAUUUGUGAAUUGCUAGUGUGUGGUGUGUCUUACCUAGUGGGUCAUUGUGGGUUUAUGCAUUAAGAUAAGUCAAAGCAAGCGGGAGCAAGUUUACGAGUUUGUGAAUGUGUGUUGUUAUGCUUGUGCGUAAGCUUUAGUGUUUGUCUGGCUGCAGGGCUGUCCAUCCUCGAGCUGAGGGUUGCGAUGAGCAUAACCUUCUGCACAGAUCUUGACGAAAUGGUUUCAUUCGACCCGUCUUGAAACACGGACCAAGG
rnacentral:rRNA from 1 species